rnacentral:rRNA from 1 species
CCACCCUUUAAUGUUUGAUGUUCUAACGUGGACCCGUGAUCCGGGUUGCGGACAGUGUCUGGUGGGUAGUUUGACUGGGGCGGUCUCCUCCUAAAGAGUAACGGAGGAGCACGAAGGUUGGCUAAUCCUGGUCGGACAUCAGGAGGUUAGUGCAAUGGCAUAAGCCAGCUUGACUGCGAGCGUGACGGCGCGAGCAGGUGCGAAAGCAGGUCAUAGUGAUCCGGUGGUUCUGAAUGGAAGGGCCAUCGCUCAACGGAUAAAAGGUACUCCGGGGAUAACAGGCUGAUACCGCCCAAGAGUUCAUAUCGACGGCGGUGUUUGGCACCUCGAUGUCGGCUCAUCACAUCCUGGGGCUGAAGUAGGUCCCAAGGGUAUGGCUGUUCGCCAUUUAAAGUGGUACGCGAGCUGGGUUUAGAACGUCGUGAGACAGUUCGGUCCCUAUCUGCCGUGGGCGCUGGAGAACUGAGGGGGGCUGCUCCUAGUACGAGAGGACCGGAGUGGACGCAUCACUGGUGUUCGGGUUGUCAUGCCAAUGGCACUGCCCGGUAGCUAAAUGCGGAAGAGAUAAGUGCUGAAAGCAUCUAAGCACGAAACUUGCC